CCGUGAAUCAUCGAAUCUUUGACCGCAUAUUGCGCCCGAGGCCUCGGCCGAGGCCAUGUCUGCCUGAGCGUC
rnacentral:rRNA from 1 species